UACGUAGGGGCGAGCGUUGUCCGGAAUGAUUGGGCGUAAAGGGCGCGUAGGCGGCUUAGCAAGUCUGGAGUGAAAGUCCUAUUUUCAAGGUAGGAAUUGCUUUGGAAACUGUUGAGCUUGAGUGCAGGAGAGGUUAUCGGAAUUCCCGGUGUAGCGGUGAAAUGCGUAGAGAUCGGGAGGAACACCAGUGGCGAAGGCGGGUAACUGGACUGCAACUGACGCUGAGGCGCGAAAGUGUGGGGAGCAAACAGGAUUAGAUACCCCGGUAGUCCCUGAG
rnacentral:rRNA from 1 species